rnacentral:rRNA from 1 species
GACGAACCGUCCAAACGUUAUUCGGAAUCACUGGGCUUACAGAGUUCGUAGGCGGUCUGGAAAGUUGGGUGUGAAAUCCCUCGGCCUAACCGAGGAACUGCGCUUGAAACUACCAGACUCGAGGGGGAUAGAGGAAAGCGGAACUGAUGGUGGAGCGGUGAAAUGCGUUGAUAUCAUCAGGAACACCGGUGGCGAAGGCGGCUCUCUGGGACGGUACUGACGCUGAGACGCGAAAGCAUGGGGAGCGAACGGG